CCUACGGGGUGCAGCAGUGAGGAAUAUUGGUCAAUGGACGAGAGUCUGAACCAGCCAAGUAGCGUGAAGGAUGACUGCCCUAUGGGUUGUAAACUUCUUUUAUAUGGGAAUAAAAUGUUCCACGUGUGGGAUUUUGUAUGUACCAUAUGAAUAAGGAUCGGCUAACUCCGUGCCAGCAGCCGCGGUAAUACGGAGGAUCCGAGCGUUAUCCGGAUUUAUUGGGUUUAAGGGGAGCGUAGGUGGAUUGUUAAGUCAGUUGUGAAAGUUUGCGGCUCAACCGUAAAAUUGCAGUUGAAACUGGCAGUCUUGAGUAUAGUAGAGGUGGGCGGAAUUCGUGGUGUAGCGGUGAAAUGCUUAGAUAUCACGAAGAACUCUGAUUGCGAAGGCAGUUCACUGGACUGCAACUGACACUGAGGCUCGAAAGUGUGGGUAUCAAACAGGAUUAGAUACCCCUGUAGUC
rnacentral:rRNA from 1 species